CACACACACACACACACACACACACACGCACACAGAGCACACACACACAGAGCACACAGACACACACAGAGCACACACAGAGGAUCUAAACUCUGCUGCAAUUUGACUGUAUAAAGCUUUUCAGUACCUGACGCUCUUGGGAUCGCCUGCCUGCUGUGUGUGAUUGCCAGCUGUGGAUGAUCAGCGGGUAGGUGUGUUCCAGCACAGCGUCAGGUAUAAAGAGGUCCUGUUUGUUCACCUCGGGGCUGCUGCAAAGCCACGGACAACGGGCUGAAGAUCGUCCACGCUACCCGAGCAUAGUGAGAGAAAUAAGUUGCUGAAAUCCUCCGAUCGCCGUGAUGGUGAACCGGGAUCGGAGCCAAAAGAAGCUGCCAAAACCGCCGACAGCCGGAGUCGGGGUUUGUGUUGAUACAUAAAGAUUAGUUCGGGGAUGGUAGAUCCCUUUAAAGUAUAGCGAGGUGAGCAAGCGGGACCUCCAUGCAUUAGGGAGUAGCGCACGCCGUUUUUACGGCACCUUUUAUUUUAUAGUUUUUUGUAUUGUGUUUUAUUUUGUUUUUCGUACGCUGGCCGUAUGCACUCAGUGAGCUACCAUGGUUGGUAGUGUCACGUGAGCUGUUGUGUGUAUGUGUGUAAAUAAAUCCUGCGCGCCUGCGGGGCGUGUCAAUUUCAA